UUUCUUUUGAAGUAUUUGUCUUAAUCACCUUAAAUCUUGUGUUUGUUCCAUUGCCUCAACCCCUUUUUAUACUACCUUGAUAAACUUUCACUCUCACUUUCCUAAACAAAAAUCCUGAAAGCCUCACUUCAUUCAUUCCUACAAUGGACGAGUUUCAGACACCACUUUCCAUACCAAUAACAAAGCUAACCACCACUAUAUCCACCACUAUAUCCACCACUAUAUCCACCACUAUAUCCACUACUACUUCACGGGUAAACCACUCACAACAAAACAUGGGUCAUCCCUAAAAUGUUCUCUUUUCCAAACUUGGGGCCACAAUUUAUGCAUAUGAACCAGCCUCAUGGUGGAUAUUCCAUGUGUUUCGUUCCAUUGGAGCAAAGCAAUGUUACUAUCUCCAUUAGGCAUAGAUAUGGAAGAGGUUUACGACAAAGAUGUAGAAGAUAUUACCCACUACUAAAGGAGCUGUGUGUUUCACUGGCUCAUACAAUUAAAGAACUCUUUGUCCAAAUCUUUGCACCUCACAAAAGCCAUAUUUUUUUUUGCUUCCUAACCACCUGCACCAUCAAGUUUGUUAUUUUCCCAUCUUUGUAUUAAUUUAUAGAUUUUUUUAUUUAUUUAUGUCUGCAAACCUAUUAGGAAAUAACAAUAGGCCACAAAACUAACUUGAGUCCUAAUUAUCAUUACAUAUAAUGUUAUAAAGUGUGACUAAAUAAGUAAUUUUAUGGGAAGAAGGUUUACGGCCAAUACUGACUCAAAGCUAUUAGUUCCAUAUAAAAAAUAAUUAAAAAUGAUUUUAUCUCCUAAAUGAAUUUUAUGGUUUUUUUAUAGUAAG
rnacentral:lncRNA from 1 species